AUGCGCCACCUGGAGUUCCAGAGGAUGCGCGUGACGCUGGCCAUCGGCGUGGUCGGCCUGUGCGCCACGGCGUACAUCCUCGGCGCCUGGCAAGGCACCUCGUCCGCCAUAAAGGACGCCCCUCGACCUGUGUACGCCAAGACGCAGUGCGACGACGCCCCCUCCCGUGCCCCCAGCAAUGCUUCAGGCACCACCAGGGUCGCGUCGGUGGCAUCCUCAGGUGCCCGUCUUGAUUUCCAGGCACACCACCGUGUGGCCUUGAACGAGUCGUCGCUGGCGACGGAGAUGAUCCCGCCAUGCCAGCUCAAGUACAGCGAGUACACGCCCUGCCAUGACCCGAGGAGAGCGAGGAAGUUUCCAAAGGCGAUGAUGCAGUACAGGGAGAGGCACUGCCCCACAAAAGAUAAAUUGUUCCGGUGCCUGAUCCCUGCACCCCCGAACUAUAAGAACCCCUUCACGUGGCCGCAGAGUCGGGACUACGCCUGGUAUGACAACAUCCCUCACCGGGAGCUGAGUAUCGAGAAGGCUGUCCAGAACUGGAUUCAGGUUGAGGGGGACCGGUUUAGGUUCCCUGGUGGUGGGACGAUGUUCCCGCAUGGUGCUGAUGCUUAUAUCGAUGAUAUCAAUGCGCUCAUACCGUUAACUGACGGAAACAUCAGAACUGCACUUGAUACUGGAUGUGGGGUGGCAAGUUGGGGUGCUUUUCUUCUGAAGAGGGGCAUCAUCACCAUGUCAUUUGCACCAAGGGAUUCGCACGAGGCACAGGUACAGUUUGCGUUAGAGAGGGGAGUGCCGGCUAUGAUUGGAGUGAUGGCAACCGAUAGAAUCCCAUACCCUGCUAGAGCAUUCGACAUGGCGCACUGCUCUAGAUGUUUGAUCCCAUGGAACAAGCUCGACGGUUUAUAUCUGGUUGAAGUGGACAGAGUUCUAAGACCAGGAGGCUACUGGAUCCUCUCUGGGCCUCCAAUCCGUUGGAAGAAGCACUACAAGGGGUGGCAAAGAACAGAGGAAGACCUGAAGCAAGAGCAAGAUGAGAUUGAGGACCUAGCAAAGCGGCUCUGCUGGAAGAAAGUAGUAGAGAAAGAUGAUCUUGCUGUAUGGCAGAAGCCUAUCAACCACAUGGAGUGUGCUAAUAAUCGGAAUGCCGACGAAGCUCUGCAGUUCUGCAACAACAGCGAUGUGGACUCUGCUUGGUACAAGAAGAUGGAGACGUGCAUAUCUCCUCUGCCGGAAGUGCAAACCGAGGAAGAAGUUGCUGGCGGAGCUCUCGAGAACUGGCCACAAAGAGCAUCCGCAGUUCCGCCGAGAAUAACCCGAGGUUCAGUUUCAGGCAUCACCCCUGAGAAGUUCGAAGAGGACAAUAAGUUGUGGGCAGAGCGAGCGGACCACUACAAGAAACUGAUCCCGCCACUGGCCAAGGGGCGAUACAGGAACGUGAUGGACAUGGAUGCAGGGAUGGGGGGUUUUGCUGCUGCGCUGAUGGAGUAUCCGCUCUGGGUGAUGAAUGUGGUGCCUUCAGGUUCUGCUCCUGAUGCCCUCGGUGUUAUCUACGAGCGGGGGUUUAUCGGGACAUUCCAUGACUGGUGCGAGGCUUUCUCGACGUAUCCCAGGACGUAUGACCUCAUCCACGCUAACAAAGUGUUCAGCUUUUAUCAUGACAGGUGUGACAUAACAUACAUCCUCCUGGAGAUGGACCGGAUUCUGCGGCCUGAAGGGACGGUGAUCUUCAGGGACACCGUGGAGAUGUUAGUGAAGAUACAAGCCAUCACCAAUGGCAUGAGAUGGAAGAGCCAGAUCAUGGAUCAUGAAUCCGGGCCGUUCAACCCUGAGAAGAUCCUUGUGGCCGUCAAAACUUACUGGACCGCGGAGCCUGCCCAAAAGCAGCAAUAG
rnacentral:rRNA from 1 species